rnacentral:rRNA from 1 species
UGCGCAGGCGGUUUGAUAAGACAGAUGUGAAAUCCCCGGGCUUAACCUGGGAACUGCAUUUGUGACUGUCAGGCUAGAGUACGGCAGAGGGGGGUAGAAUUCCACGUGUAGCAGUGAAAUGCGUAGAUAUGUGGAGGAAUACCGAUGGCGAAGGCAGCCCCCUGGGUCGAUACUGACGCUCAUGCACGAAAGCGUGGGGAGCAAACAGGAUUAGAUACCCUGGUAGUCCACGCCCUAAACGAUGUCAACUAGGUGUUGGGGGAGGAGACUUCCUUGGUACCGCAGCUAACGCGUGAAGUUGACCGCCUGGGGAGUACGGCCGCAAGGUUGAA